GCAAUACAACAGACCAAGCUUCAGACCAGCAAUUAUACUUGUGACAACAUCCAAUCAAGCAACAUCAGUAUCAAAGUGGUUUGUAGUAAUAUACUAAUGCACAUGGAUAACAACUUCAGUUGAAAAAAUUAGUGUCAUUCCCAUGUAAUUUUCAUACCAUAGAUCCACCAAUCUCAUACAUAAUGUGUUGCUUAAAUAAUGAAAAUUAUAAAAAGUUACAACCAAUUUAAUAACAUUAACAACAACACUGCAUACAUAACAUUAACAAUUAUGACAAAUCGUUGAAUUAGUUGCAAUUGACGCAUUUCAAUCUUCAUAAUCGUUAAGUCGUUGGAGUCGUUAGUAUUCGUUGGAUGAGUUGUUACAUUUAAACGCUCGGAUGUGUCCAUCUGCAACCUCCCUUGAUUAUGCAACACUCGAACAUAUUCGUCACACCAGCUGAUGAAGUUACCACAUUGCUGCAUAUUUUGGGCACAACAAAUUUAUACAAAAAGUUACCACUUGUGUAAAAGGAACAAAUAUACAAAAAUUACAAUACAUAAAUACAUACCAUUCUUGGGCAAGAAUAAUAGUGUCUACCCGGAUUCUUUUCCGAUAUUGAAAGUUUUACUAUACAAGGGCCCGUACCACAACGGCAUAUGAACAGAGGCUAUACGGAUGUAGCAGUAGACGAAUUUGAUAACAUAUUUUCUAUCACCAGAUAGGCAUAAAAAAGAUUAACAGUAAUUCCAAAUUGUAUAUUUGAAUGAUUUACGUCAGCUUGUUAGAUAUAAAACAAUCUCUAAAACUUAUAUGACUACAAUGACCAUUAGCAGCUUAACACAAUCCCCAUUUUGAACAACAUGAGUUAAAGCCCACACCAAAGCAGACUAUUACUAUCAGUAAUCUGAAUGUCAUGUCAGAUUGGAUAGAAAUCUCGUCAGAAAUAAUGUUCACACAAUAUUUUUAUAUAAUAAUGUCAGGUACAGGCACCUGUUGCCCAUGGUACUAAAAAUUUACUCUGGUGAAGUACACUACUACUAUAUGGAACCAUUCAUGAUGCAGUUACUUUCUUUAUCUUUUAUUGUUAUUAUCCUAAUAGCACAUUGCCAUUAGCGCAUUACAAUUACAUUACGAAGCUCCAUUACUUUACGUUCCAAAAUCAAUCAGGGAUCUAAACAGGCGCUAAGAGCAAUGUAAUACUUUUUGCCGCAGACUCAUCUCAGCUCAGUAAAAUUAUCAAACAAAAAUUAACCAAUUUGUUCAACCCCUUAAACAGGCAAAAAUGUGAAUUUCUGCUUAAAAGCCAUGAAAUCAGACUCAAAAUGGAAUGACCCAACAACUUCAAAAUUCAAAUGGUCAAAUAACUGAAUGUAAGUUUUUCAAAAAUACUGUCUCAUCAUAGAUCUUUGUAUCUACUCAAACCCCUAGAUCUUUGAAGCAAAACAAACCCUAGAUCUUUGUAUCUACUCAAACCCCAAAACAGAAAUUACAAAAUUAAGUACCAAUCUUUAUGAGAAUCGUUUACCUUCUGAUCCGGUUUGCUUCAGAUCUUUACCUUCCGAUUCGUUGACACGAGAAUCGUUUCUUUUCAAAUGGGAAGCAAGAAUAUGGGAGAGAGAAUCAGCAGGGAGAGAAGAUUAGAUUUCGCAUGGGUUCAGUCGUUCUGUAGCAAUUGGAAGAGAAAGAGGGAUUUCGCAU
rnacentral:lncRNA from 1 species